GACAGAGGUGCCAAGCGUUAGGCGGAAUCACUGGGCUUAAAGCGCGUGUAGGCGGGAGGGCACGUCCGUCGCUGAAAUCCCCCGGCUCAACCGGGGAACGGGCGCGGAUACGACCUUCCUGGAGGGGCGUAGGGGGACCUGGAACUUCCGGUGGAGCGGUGAAAUGCGUUGAGAUCGGAAGGAACGCCCGCGGCGAAAGCGAGGUCCUGGACGCCUACUGACGCUGAGACGCGAAAGCCAGGGGAGCGAACGGG
rnacentral:rRNA from 1 species